rnacentral:rRNA from 1 species
AGAGAGGAGCGAUGCGGCGACGCAGAGCGGAACUUCAAAGCCUGUCUCAGUUCGGAUUGGAGUCUGCAACCCGACUCCAUGAAGCUGGAUUCGCUAGUAAUCGCGCAUCAGCCACGGCGCGGUGAAUACGUUCCCGGGCCUUGUACACACCGCCCGUCAAGCCAUGGAAGCCGGGAGUGCCUGAAGUGUGCAACCGCAAGGAGCGCCCUAAGGUAAAACCGGUGACUGGGGCUAAGUCGUAACAAGGUAAC